UUCCGAGCUCAGAAAAAAUGGCUCAACUCGGUUCGAACACAGUUUCGAUCCGAGUCGAGUCGAGCUUUUCCGAAUUGAUCCGAGCGAGCUAAUGAGCUAACUCGACUCGUGUACAACUCUAUUGGUUGUAUUAGAGUAUAGUGAUUACUAAUGAGCAUUGAUGAAUUCACUAUGUUAGCUCAAGAUCUCAUUCAUAUAAAUAUCAUACUGUAAGAAGUGAUUCAUUAAGGGGGUGUUUGGUUGCUAUAUCUCGUUGAUGAAUUCACUAUAUUUCUUGGCUUAGUCAUUCCCUGCCUUUUACCAAAAAAAAAAAAAAAACAUGUUUGGUUCACUCCUUUUUGUUAGUUUUUAAAUAUUCCCCAGGAAUUCCAUUCCCCAAUUUUAACUGGGGAAUGGAGAACCUAGGGAAAUUAAAUAAAAGACUACUUAUAGGUUUCCCCAGGAAACAUAUCAACCAAACAAAAUUUAAUCAUUCCCUAUGAUGGAUUAAAUCACACACCCAUGUGCCAUGCUGGCACACGUGUGGUGUUUACACGAGCUUUAUUGCAAAUGUGUCAUUUUUCUAUAUUUCUUAGUUGUGUUUUCUAGACACUUGAGGUGGCUAUCCAUAUCCUAUAUAAAAGAAUGAGUUUCAUCUCUAUGUCUAAUUCCCUAUGUGUCCCUUUAUGUAUAUCGUGCUAAUGCCUCUUUGCAUUCGUGGAAUGCUAGGUAUGCUCUCGCAUGAGAUGGAGGUAGGGCCUUUAUGUUGUAUGUGCCUGGAGUCACAUGUGUUCUUGAUCCAAGCCACUUAGUGGGUAGGGGACAACUUUAAGCUGUCUUGGCUUAUAUUAGGUCAAUCCACACAUCAGAAAGACUCAACAGCUUGAGCAAACUUUUCAAUGAUUUACAUUCAAUGCACUGUUCUUUUGAAUGAUUCACAUUCAAUGCACUGUUUUACCUCGUCAGGUUACUGGAGAUACCUGACAUUUCAACAAUCUUCUUCAUGUUAGGGACCACCUGAUGAACCGCAGGAUGUUUGACAUGUUUGGCAAUCUUGCUUGUGUGAUGCGUGUGAUAGUGUGGGUGGAGAUGGUGCCUGUUGGCUAGAACACCUUGAAAUAUGAUGAGGACACCAAUAAUGUGGUAAUUCACCACUACUUUUGAAGUCGUGGUGUCUCAUCCAUGGGGUAUGUCAAUGCAGAAUGCCCGAGUGGUUGGCCUGUAGUGUCAAUUUAGCAUGGUCCUAAAGUUACACUGAUCGAACAAUCCCAGCCACUAGAUUGGCGGUCAUCAGGUGAAUGCAUAAGGAAUGAUCAAUGGUCAAAUCGAGUGAGUGAUAUUAGAUAGUUAAGAUUAGAUCAGGGUGGUUUUGUUUCAUGUUCCACCAACAAUGUGCCUAUGAUUUGGACUGUCUAGAUUGUGUAUGCAAAAUGUCCGAAGAUAUGAGACACUGAAACUUAAAAACCUUUGCUAAACUAUGACAACCCCACAAAGCUUAUCUGCAUGAGUUAUAUAGUGCUAAUGCAUCAGAAUGUGAAUAACAUCUGUAAGUAUUCUCUUGUCCACUGUUAGCAAAACUCUGUUUUAAACUCCAUAUUUAAAGAAAAAGAAAAAAAAAAAACCCCUCUUAUAAUUGACUGAACAUUUAAAAUCUUUAUAUUUUGGAAGAUAAGCAAAAUAAAAAUUUAAAAACAAGUUUUUUUGGGCAAACCAAAUUAAACACAUUUUUCCCCCUUUCAAUAGAACCCGUUUU